rnacentral:rRNA from 1 species
AGCAGCCGCGGUAAUUCCAGCUCCAAUAGCGUAUAUUAAAGUUGUUGCAGUUAAAAAGCUCGUAGUUGAAUUUCGGGAUCAAUAUGUUGGUCGUGCCUCGGUACGUACUAGCUUAUUGGUUUCUCCUUUCUGAAGAACCAUGAUGUCAUUUAUUUGGUGUCGUGGGGAAUCAGGACUGUUACUUUGAAAAAAUUAGAGUGUUUAAAGCAGGCUCACGCUUGAAUACAUUAGCAUGGAAUAAUGAAAUAGGACGUUUGAUUCUAUUUUGUUGGUUUCUAGGAUCGACGUAAUGAUUAAUAGGGAUAGUUGGGGGCAUUAGUAUUCAAUUGUCAGAGGUGAAAUUCUUGGAUUUAUUGAAGACUAACUACUGCGAAAGCAUUUGCCAAGGAUGUUUUCAUUAAUCAAGAACGAAAGUUAGGGGAUCGAAGACGAUCAGAUACCGUCGUAGUCUUAACCAUAAACUAUGCCGACUAGGGAUCGGAUGAUGUAAUUUUUAAUGACUCAUUCGGCGCCUUAAC